rnacentral:tRNA from 1 species
CGCGGGGUAGAGCAGCGGCAGCUCGCAAGGCCCAUAACCUUGAGGACGCUGGUUCGAAUCCAGCCCCCGCAA